rnacentral:rRNA from 1 species
CUUUCCCUCUUUCUCUAGGCCUAACACAUGCAAGUCGAACGGCAGCACAGUAAGAGCUUGCUCUUACGGGUGGCGAGUGGCGGACGGGUGAGGAAUACAUCGGAAUCUACUUUUUCGUGGGGGAUAACGUAGGGAAACUUACGCUAAUACCGCAUACGACCUACGGGUGAAAGCAGGGGAUCUUCGGACCUUGCGCGAUUGAAUGAGCCGAUGUCGGAUUAGCUAGUUGGCGGGGUAAAGGCCCACCAAGGCGACGAUCCGUAGCUGGUCUGAGAGGAUGAUCAGCCACACUGGAACUGAGACACGGUCCAGACUCCUACGGGAGGCAGCAGUGGGGAAUAUUGGACAAUGGGCGCAAGCCUGAUCCAGCCAUACCGCGUGGGUGAAGAAGGCCUUCGGGUUGUAAAGCCCUUUUGUUGGGAAAGAAAAGCAGCAGGUUAAUACCCCGCUGUUCUGACGGUACCCAAAGAAUAAGCACCGGCUAACUUCGUG